CCUUCCUGAGGAUGAUAGUGUUAUUUUGAUGAUUAACAAGCAAUUAUCUAGAGUAUGCUAUAAGUUAAAUUGAUACUUCAUUUAUAAGUUCAUUACUCUCAGUAUAUUUGGUUAAUUGAAAAUAGAUACAUGACCUUGUUCAUUUGAAUGAAUCUAACCUUGAGAAUGUAGCAAAGUGUGGAUUGAGUCGACCCAAAGGUUGAUUGGGUCGACCCCGGCACAUCAAGAAAUCAUUUGGCACACUCCUGCAAAAAUGGCACAAAUGAACAGUGAGUUGGGUCGACCCAAGGUAAGCAUGAGUCGACCCAACCUUGAAGAACCUCAAAAACACAACUGAAGAAUGCUCUCUGGA
rnacentral:lncRNA from 1 species